rnacentral:rRNA from 1 species
AGAGUUUGAUCAUGGCUCAGAUUGAACGCUGGCGGUAGGCUUAACACAUGCAAGUCGAGCGGAAACGAUGUAGCUUGCUACAGGCGUCGAGCGGCGGACGGGUGAGUAACGCGUAGGAACCUACCUAGUAGUUUGGGAUAGCCCAGAGAAAUUUGGAUUAAUACCGAAUACGCCCCACGGGGGAAAGCGGAGGAUCUUCGGACUUCGCGCUAUUAGAUGGGCCUGCGUAAGAUUAGCUUGUUGGUGAGGUAAUGGCUCACCAAGGCAACGAUCUUUAGCUGGUUUGAGAGGAUGAUCAGCCACACUGGGACUGAGACACGGCCCAGACUCCUACGGGAGGCAGCAGUGGGGAAUAUUGCACAAUGGGCGAAAGCCUGAUGCAGCCAUACCGCGUGUGUGAAGAAGGCUCUAGGGUUGUAAAGCACUUUCAGUAGGGAGGAAAGGUUGUAGCUUAAUACGCUAUAGCUGUGACGUUACCUACAGAAGAAGGACCGGCUAACUCCGUGCCAGCAGCCGCGGUAAUACGGAGGGUCCGAGCGUUAAUCGGAAUUACUGGGCGUAAAGCGUACGUAGGUGGUUUGUUAAGUUGGAUGUGAAAGCCCAGGGCUCAACCUUGGAACUGCAUUCAAAACUGAUGAACUAGAAUAUGGUAGAGGUAAGUGGAAUUUCCUGUGUAGCGGUGAAAUGCGUAGAGAUGGGAAGGAACAUCAGUGGCGAAGGCGACUUACUGGACCAAUAUUGACACUGAGGUACGAAAGCGUGGGUAGCAAACAGGAUUAGAUACCCUGGUAGUCCACGCCGUAAACGAUGUCUACUAGCCGUUGGGAUCCUUGAGAUCUUAGUGGCGCAGCUAACGCACUAAGUAGACCGCCUGGGGAGUACGGUCGCAAGAUUAAAACUCAAAUGAAUUGACGGGGGCCCGCACAAGCGGUGGAGCAUGUGGUUUA